rnacentral:lncRNA from 1 species
CUGCGCGGUGUGGUUGCGCACAGGUGUGGACCCCGCUGGUCACGUGACGCCGCGCGGCCAGGGGAGCGGUUGCCCUGUCCUGAGGGCUUUGCUGUCCUGAGGGCUUUGCUGUCCUGAGGGCUUUCCUGCCCUGCAAAAGUGCGGGCUCAGACCCCCUCUUCCUUGGGUAGUGCGCUGGAGCCCGAAUAGAUUUUCAUAAGAAAGUACCAUUUGGGGCUUGGGGAGGUGUAAAACUCGCCUAAUUCCUUUUCUUAAGAAAACCUACCCCCUCAGCUUUGUGAGACUUCUGGUGAUGUUUAAAUCAGGAUUUUAGAAGGGAUUUUAGGAGGUAUGUCUGCAACCAGUGUCUACAUUCAAAUGACAAAGGCAGGGAUCGAACUCGGGUCCUUGAGCUUGCGAGGCAGGCAGCGGAACCACUGAGCUAAAUCCCCGGCCCAUUUAUCUCUCUAUUCUUAUCAGGUAAUGAUUAUAUAGUUUCGUCUUCAAAGUGAUUUUAUUUCAUUGUGAAUAUUUUGAGUCACUUACUUUCCUUCUCUUCUUUAAAUCUGGAUUCUCUAGUAGGUUACAAACUACCUGUAUGAAUGUCACCUCUAAUGCCUGUUAAAAUGCUGACUCCCGGGCCAGGGAUUUAGAUCAGUGGUUCCGCGGCCUGUCUCAAAAGCGGAAGGACCCGAGUUCGAUCCCUGGUACCCCCCCCCCCCCAAAAAUCAAAGACUGUUUGUAA